UGAUGACAAAUUCUCCGGAAUCUCUGUACCACCUUGAUGAUCUCCUUUGAACCCCUUAGCUGAUGACUGUCUGGUGUUACC